AACGUGGGUCUUGACGGCAUAUAAGUUUUGCCCAAACAAUGCAGUUCCUGAAGAUGUCUGAGAAACCUCGCAGGAGCAAGGCGGGCCGCUAGGGUGGUUGGGGUCAGCCGUAGGGAUAGGGUCCGGGGGAGGAGCCGGCGGUUUUUUUGCCGGGUUCACCGCGACACCUUAAGUCAGCAGGGGCAACGCGGAGAAGAGGACGGAUGCAUGGCCACAGGUACGGUGAAAUGGUUUAACGACGCGAAGGGUUAUGGAUUCAUUACGCCCGACGACGGCGGGGAAGACUUAUUCGCACAUUUUUCUGCAAUCCAGAUCGGAGGCUUCAAGACGCUAAAGGAAGGCCAGAAGGUUGCCUUCGAGAUCGUGCAGGGUCCGAAGGGCAAACAGGCAUCGAACAUAACGCCCAACGCCUGAGUGCUAGCGCCGCCGUGCGCCGGAAAAAGCCCCGUCCAGCGGGGCUUUUUCAUU
rnacentral:misc_RNA from 1 species